AGGACCCACGUUUCAGAAUCCAAUUCACGUUUCAUUUUAAAUAAAUAAAUAAUUCAAUUUAAAAAAACGUGUAGGCUUUGGAAUUUAUUAUGGGUCGGGUUUCACCGUUGUUUGGGUUUGAAAGUGGGUUAAUUUCAUAGUGGGUUGGGCUUAAAAAAUAGUUUGGGAUUCAGUUUGCGUAAGCCUGUGUGAUACGCUCAAUGCAAUCGAGUUACCUGCGAAAGUGUUAUGAAAGUGACUCAAAAACAUAACAAGACUCCAAUAAAUUUAAUAUAAAAAAAGCAAAAAUAUUUUAAAAAAUUUAAGAAAAACCAUAUUUACUUGCUAGACUCCAAUACCCCAAAACCUAGAAAUGAACAUUGUCCUCAAUAUUUAAAACUUAGGAACAAAGCAAUGUCAUAACCAUAAAUGAAAGUUACUAAAGUAAAUAUAUAUCACAAAAUACAAUAAUUGAAAUACAAAAAUAAAUAAAAUAAAAGUUACAAAAACAAACAAACAAAUGAAUAAAAACUAAGCAGUAACCCCUAAUCACACAGGCUUACGCAAACUGAAACCCAAACCAUGUUUUAAGCCCAACCCACUAUGAAAUUAACCCACUUUGAAACCCAGACAACGGUGAAACCUGACCCAUAACGAAUUCCGAAGCCUACACGUUUUUUAAAAAAAAUUGAAUUAUUUAUUUAUUUAUUUAAGAUGAAACGUGAAUUGGAUUCUGAAACGUUGGUCCUAUUGUUGUCUCCCAGUAAGUCACAGCCAGCAAGCAAGAGCCACGUGUGGACAGGUAGAGGCACCGUAGAUUCCGAAGCACAAAUUACAUAUGCCAUGGAAAGUCAGGACGACUUUGCUGAAUGCGUUCGUUCAGAAAGGGCACGUUGCUAUAAAUUAGUUGGAGAUGGUUGGAAAGCCAAAAGGCCGUGAAGCUUGAGGAACGCGAGAAAAUAAAAAAAUGCUUAGAUGCUGUAAUGGCUAGGGUUUGUCAUAAUUGACGUCUAUAAAAGGAAAUUACAACCACGCAGAAGAGAGAAAAGGAAGAAGAAAAAAGAGAGCUAAGAGAAAAGAAAGUCGAAAGAAAAUGUUGUAUUUCUUCCCAUCUUUUCUAGAUCUUAACCUGGCUCUACCAAAAGAGACAUGAGGGCAGGGAAUUGCAUCGGUCUGGACGCCCUAAUUUGCUUCUUCACGAGGACCAGUGACAGUAAACGACUCAUUACUCCUUGACAUUUAAGUUGCCAUUUGAGUUGCGAGAAGUUUGAUGACUCCUAAGGAUGUGCGCAUACUAGGAAUGAGGAAUGACAACCGGUUAGUGAGCGACGUCAUGGUACUGAGCGUGCAAAGUGGGGCAUCUAUCGCAAGUGUGGGGCAUCGCCUCAUUGCGAAAUCUCAUGAGGUGCAAGUACUGAGAGCUUAGUUG
rnacentral:lncRNA from 1 species